UACAGGAGGGGGCAAGCGUUGUUCGGAAUUACUGGGCGUAAAGGGCGCGUAGGCGGCCUUCUAAGUCGAACGGUGAAAUCCCCGGGCUCAACCCGGGAACUGCGUCCGAUACUGGAAGGCUUGGAAUCCGGGAGAGGGAUGCGGAAUUCCAGGUGUAGCGGUGAAAUGCGUAGAUAUCUGGAGGAACACCGGUGGCGAAGGCGGCAUCCUGGACCGGCAUUGACGCUGAGGCGCGAAAGCCAGGGGAGCAAACGGG
rnacentral:rRNA from 1 species